UACGUAGGGGGCAAGCGUUGUCCGGAUUUAUUGGGCGUAAAGAGCGUGUAGGCGGCUAGAUAGGUCCGUUGUGAAAACUCGAGGCUCAACCUCGAGACGUCGAUGGAAACCAUCUGGCUAGAGUCCGGAAGAGGAGAGUGGAAUUCCUGGUGUAGCGGUGAAAUGCGCAGAUAUCAGGAAGAACACCCGCGGCGAAGGCGGCUCUCUGGUACGUGACUGACGCUGAGACGCGAAAGCGUGGGGAGCGAACAGG
rnacentral:rRNA from 1 species